UGAAAUUUAACCCUAACCUUUGUAGUAAAUAGUGGACUAAUCGAUAUUGUUUUCACAUUGAUAGUUGUCUCAAUAAGUGUAUUUUAAUUCUAAAACAGGAAUUUUUAAACCUAUCAAUUCCAAACUUAAAUCAGAAAAUGGUUAAAGUUGUGUUGAAGUACGGUCCUUACCAAAGAUGAAACGGGGUCUAUCACAGCGAAAAGAAAAUAGAGGGACUUAAAGGUAUACUAGGGUCCUCUGGUUUUACUGUAGUAACUCAUAAAAUACAAAGCAGAGACGCUUGUCAACUUACAGUUGAUUCUAAAGUUGUCUGGAGUUGCAAUAUCACAGCUCUUCAAACAGGCGGCGGAAAAGAGGAUCCAUUGUGUCUCGAGGCUCUAAGUGCUGUCAAAAACUUCACAACAAAUAAACACACGAAGUCAUAGAAACACCAUUUAGUUAUGUCAAAGAACCCUGGAAAAGUUAUCAUCCGGUAUGGUCCAUACGGGCCAUGAGGAAGAGUUAAACACAGAACGGAACUACUGACAGGUCUGAUUAAACAACUUAAAGAUUUAGGAAUGGAGACCCAACUGUUUCAAGUUCAGGCGAAGGAGGCACUCCAAAUCGUGGUUAAAGGAAGAAUAAUAUGGAAAGGCAAUAUAAAGGCUCUGUCAGGAGAGAGUUCCGGUCAAGCACAUGGUGAUCAUGUUUGUAGUUCUAUUCUGGAAAGAGUUUCCUCUGCUAUACAGUAAAAUGCAUCCAGUUUUGUACAUUUUGAAUAAUUCGACCGUAUGAAAAUAUCAUGUCAAAUUAUUUAAGCAUAGUAUUAGAUUUUUGUCGAAAUCAUAUGUAAAGAAUUGGACAUUAUUUUUAAAAAUAAAUCAUUAUUUUGUUA